rnacentral:rRNA from 1 species
AUUGAACGCUGGCGGCAUGCUUUACACAUGCAAGUCGAACGGUAACAGGUUAAGCUGACGAGUGGCGAACGGGUGAGUAAUGCAUCGGAACGUGCCCGAUCGUGGGGGAUAACGCAGCGAAAGCUGCGCUAAUACCGCACCCGAUCUGAGGAUGAAAGCGGGGGACCGUAAGGCCUCGCGCGAUCGGAGCGGCCGAUGUCAGAUUAGGCAGUUGGUGGGGUAAAGGCUCACCAAGCCAACGAUCUGUAGCUGGUCUGAGAGGACGACCAGCCACACUGGGACUGAGACACGGCCCAGACUCCUACGGGAGGCAGCAGUGGGGAAUGUUGGACAAUGGGCGAAAGCCUGAUCCAGCCAUGCCGCGUGUGUGAAGAAGGUCUUCGGAUUGUAAAGCACUUUAAGUCGGGAGGAAGGACUGUAGGCUAAUACCUUGCAGUUUUGACGUUACCGACAGAAUAAGCACCGGCUAACUUCGUGCCAGCAGCCGCGGUAA